GACUGCUUUAAACCAUAUAAACUGCGAUGAAGUCUGCAUAAUUUUUCUGUGCUCUCGUUUAAUCCAUUCGAUGCCUCGUGUAAAUUUCUUCGUCCAAAUAUUAAUAUAAAAAAGCUGUUGGGACGUCAAACUAUCUAAGUUGUAGUUGUUCUAUUGCUGAUUAAGCUGAUUUGGAUCAAAUUGAAACAAACUUCACUACAGGAUUAAAU